AAAUGGUACUAUGUAUAUCUCACUAGAAACUGGAAUAAACUAGGGCAAUAUUUUUCCGCCAGAUCUCUGAUACUGAUUUUGUACCAGAACUUUAUACUGGUGAAAGGGCUUGAUCUCAGGCAUGCGGUUGGUGGUCCCAAGGGUGUCCUGCCUGACCAGAAGGGCUCCAGAAGGGAAGUGAGUUUCCUGGAAAGUUUCAGAUACCUUUUGGCAUCGAGAAGAGCAGUAGAUGCCCAAGUGCUGCAGAAGUCAAGUCACCAAUGGAGACAGAUCUCCAUCUAUCCUGGUCUCAGCCUGCUUGUGCAAGAAGAAAGACAAGCAGCUGUGACUACUGAGAGGGAGGAGAGUGCAAGGGCCUCUUUGGACUGGAUAAAAGAAGCAAGGAAGCAAACUGCAGAGUAUUUUCAUGAAUAAACUUUAAUUCUUAGAAAAAGCAGAGACUUAAUCUUCCAAACAGUGAAUAGCAGUAUCUAGAACCUGCAAAGAAAAGAGAUCAAGGUGAAAAAAACCUUUCAGAAUGGAAGCUCUCCUGGAAAUCGCCAUUUGUCAAGAGAAAAUGCUGGGAGUUCAUUUUAACUUCUAUAUAUCAGGAUGAAUCUCCAAGUCUUCCAGAAGUUUCCCAUUAUAAACAGGCUUUAUACAUGCUGAAUUCCAUUUCAGAUUUCAUUGGAAUGGGAAAAUCCGACUGCAGUGUGAGUAAAAGCUCAUGAGUUGAGAAAUUGUUUGGCCUCAAUCGCUGAGCUUGUAACAAAUCAGUUCUCAAAAAUUUUUGUCCUGCAAACCAACUCAUUUUUCAGAUUGUCUCAGACCACUAUGAUAAAUGAUUGCUUCCAUCUGAGUUUAAAUUUCUGAACUGUAAGUGUACAAGCUUAAAUUCAGUUAAGCAUGUUGUUAACUGAAUAAGUCUACUUUAAAACAUUUUGGAUUUGUAUUUAAAACAUUUUUUGUGAGCAGUAGUCGCUGUAAAUCACUUACUGCAUUACUUUAUAACUGUGAUAUAAAUAAAUUAUAGCAUAAGACUGCAUCCUUCUUUCUAGAUUUAAAAAUUAUCUGUUGUGCUAUCAAAUGAUAAAGGGGCUACAUCUGUUUGAGGUAACUUAGAUAUGUAGAAAAGGAAACUUCAGUAUUUCCACUCACAUUUGGUUUUGAGCCUCCCCUAGUGCAACAACCCCUGCUAAGCACUUUACUUUUGCAUUUAGAUAUCUUUUAGGUAAUUAUGGCAGGUAGUGCUGAAUCAUUGUGUAUUUUCUUAAAUAAUAAUGAAGGAAAAGGAAGAGUAUCCCUCCUUAACAAGCAAAGGGAACUGAGUCAUUGGGAAUUUACCAUAGUAUAAAGUAGUACAGCUUCAUUAAAACUAUGCUGAUAAAUGUCAGAAGGCCGAGUUCUCUGAAAACAGGGUGCCUGUCAGUCUAGCCAAGAAAAAUAAUCCAAUCAUUGAUCUUGGUUAGAAGGACAAGUGUCCAUGUCCAGGGUGUAAUGCUGGCUUUUUCUAAUUCAAAAUUUGAUUUAUUAAUAACAAGCAUUGUAGAAUUCAGCUUAUAUGAAGGUGUUUGAUAUUUCAUACUCUACUAGAUGCUUAUGUAUGUGAAUAAACAUGAGAAUGGAUGAAACACAUUAAUGAAACAGCCCUAAUCUGUUUACCAGUGCAAGAUUCAGUAUCAGAGCAUAAAUGAUUCCCCCCUUUUUUUCCCAGAUGUACCAUUCAUUAGCAUGUGUUCUAGGACAAACCCUGAAAUGCGGUCGUGUUGAGAAAAGGAACGUCACACUGCUCCCUUAGGCAAUUAAGUUUGAUCUAAGUGAAACAUUGAGUUUUUAAGGAAAGAGAUUUACAUCUUAAAAGUUCAAGAACUUCCCAACUUGCAAUAAAAGCUUCAUGUGAAGUCAUACAAUGCAUGUCUUUGCUAUAUUUAUCAUUUUGAGCGAACAGAAAUUUUGUUUGAAAAAUUGAUAUGAUGUCCAGAAAACAUUCUAGAUGUCUGCAUCUCUCCCAGAAAAGCCGUUUUUAAUCUAUAUUUUCUUUAGUUUGUAGAGGGUGUGGGCUCACUUCAGUGGGGAUCUAAGCCAUCAGAUUUCAACUAAUUUUAAAAAUCUAGUACAGGGCAUGAAAGUAGACCUAUCAAACCAAUAAUCUUGCAUUAUUCUUUAACUACCUGGUCAACAAAAACAUGUCUAAAAUUUUCCUUGUGGUUAAAUUUAACUUAUGGGUGAUGCAUAUCACAUUUUUUGAUGUUUCUUUUUUUAACCAUUGGUUUGCUAUGGCAGGCAGGGUGAAAAUAGUUUCAUUGUUUUACCUUGAAUGUGUCAUCAGCUGAAUAUUCCGGUUGCAUUCAGGCCUGUUUUAGGUUAGCACAACUGGUGAAGUCCUCAGAUUUUAACACAGAAUAUGCUCCUUCUCCCUUCCUUUCUGUUUUACUGUCGUCUAGGUUCUUUUUAAAAACAUGCAACUGUAAUCUUUUCCCCUAUGUGUUGUUAGCUGUUGAUCAUCCUUCAAAAUAUCCGAUGUGUGUAGUUCUUUACCAUUUUUCAGAUAUCUUUUCAUUAUCUUGUCAUGUGAUACAAUCUUUAUUUUCCCCACUUUCACAGCAUAAUGUAUUUUCCUUUCCUUUCCUUGCUUGUUUUGUCCUUCAGAGAAAUCUAAUUAAUAAAGCAGCUAAUGAUAGGCUAUAUAAAAUAAAAUAGGAUUUUGCAAGCAAUGCUGAGUUGCAUUGUGUGCCAGUGUCAUUUAUUCUUAAUCUGGAUUGUUUUAUCAAUAUAAAUUUGUUUGAAAGACCAAAUUCUACAGUUAUCAAAGUAGCUGAGCUGGGAGGUUCAUUUUAAUGUAAACAUUAAUGUUUAUAUAGAAAAACUAUUCGGAGUUGCUAUUAUAAACGAUGGAGUAUAGGAGUUGGACAGAUAUUUUUGCUAUUUAUCUGAAGUUUCCAUUGCCUUCAAAUCUCUAAAUAGUUUCAUAUUUUUACUGAGAAAUAAAUUGAUAAAUUGGAG
rnacentral:lncRNA from 1 species